rnacentral:rRNA from 1 species
GAUGAACGCUAGCUACAGGCUUAACACAUGCAAGUCGAGGGGUAACGAGAGGAAAGCUUGCUUUCCUUGUCGACGACCGGCGCACGGGUGAGUAACGCGUAUCCAACCUGCCCCCAACUAGGGAAUAACCUUGCGAAAGUAAGACUAAUACCCUAUAAUUUCCUCAGAUGACAUCUGACGAGGAAUAAAGAUUUAUCGGUUGUGGAUGGGGAUGCGUCUGAUUAGCUUGUUGGCGGGGUAACGGCCCACCAUGGCAACGAUCAGUAGGGGUUCUGAGAGGAAGGUCCCCCAAAUUGGAACUGAGACACGGUCCAAACUCCUACGGGAGGCAGCAGUGAGGAAUAUUGGUCAAUGGGCGGAAGCCUGAACCAGCCAAGUAGCGUGCAGGAUGACGGCCCUAUGGGUUGUAAACUGCUUUUAUACAGGAAUAAAGUUAGCCACGUGUGGUUAUUUGUAGGUACUGUAUGAAUAAGGACCGGCUAAUUCCGUGCCGGCAGCAGCCGCC